rnacentral:rRNA from 1 species
CUGCGGCAGCGACACUAUGUGUUGUUGGGUAGGGGAGCGUUCUGUAAGCCUGUGAAGGUGUGUCGUGAGGCAUGCUGGAGGUAUCAGAAGUGCGAAUGCUGACAUAAGUAACGAUAAAGCGGGUGAAAAGCCCGCUCGCCGGAAGACCAAGGGUUCCUGUCCAACGUUAAUCGGGGCAGGGUGAGUCGACCCCUAAGGCGAGGCCGAAAGGCGUAGUCGAUGGGAAACGGGUUAAUAUUCCCGUACUUGGUGUUACUGCGAAGGGGGGACGGAGAAGGCUAUGUUGGCCGGGCGACGGUUGUCCCGGUUUAAGCGUGUAGGUGUGUGUUCCAGGUAAAUCCGGUUCACUUUAACACUGAGGCGUGAUGACGAGGCACUACGGUGCUGAAGCAACAAAUGCCCUGCUUCCAGGAAAAGCCUCUAAGCAUCAGGUAACAUCAAAUCGUACCCCAAACCGACACAGGUGGUCAGGUAGAGAAUACCAAGGCGCUUGAGAGAACUCGGGUGAAGGAACUAGGCAAAAUGGUGCCGUAACUUCGGGAGAAGGCACGCUGACACGUAGGUGAAGUGAUUUACUCAUGGAGCUGAAGUCAGUCGAAGAUACCAGCUGGCUGCAACUGUUUAUUAAAAACACAGCACUGUGCAAACACGAAAGUGGACGUAUACGGUGUGACGCCUGCCCGGUGCCGGAAGGUUAAUUGAUGGGGUCAGCGCAAGCGAAGCUCCUGAUCGAAGCCCCGGUAAACGGCGGCCGUAACUAUAACGGUCCUAAGGUAGCGAAAUUCCUUGUCGGGUAAGUUCCGACCUGCACGAAUGGCGUAAUGAUGGCCAGGCUGUCUCCACCCGAGACUCAGUGAAAUUGAACUCGCUGUGAAGAUGCAGUGUACCCGCGGCAAGACGGAAAGACCCCGUGAACCUUUACUAUAGCUUGACACUGAACAUUGAGCCUUGAUGUGUAG